CCAAGCCCUCUCCCUUGACACAUGGGGAUUACAAUUCGAGAUGAGAUUUGGGUGGAGACGCAGCCAAACCAUAACACUCAGAAUGUUUAACAGGGAGGAACCCUAUCUUCUGGGAGCUGCAAAAUAUGCUUGCACCAAAAAGUAAGCCAAGGAAACAGGGAACGAAGUAAAAAACCAAGCACGUUUCCUGUGCCUGUGAGAUGCCUGGAUUCUUCAAGAUGGCGAGACCCAAGGAAAGAAAGGUCAAGUUGUCGGCAAGUUACCUCAGGACUUUUCUGGCUACUUUAUGGUAAUAAAAUCCUGAGGCUGGCCCGUUAGGGAACUACUAAAAUCGUCCAAAUAAGAAAUGAUAGAGUGUUGGAUUAAAAGGCUUCAGAGUUCUACAUCGUAUCCUACUUACAGCCCUAAAUACCUGUUAACUGCCACCCCCUGGACAGAUUAUUACAGUGACAACAGAAAUAUAAGUCACAUAAGGAGCUGCUGAAUGCACUCAAGACUCAACAAUCUCCAAAGAUACUGGAAGGCACGAAUGGAAAUCUGGACUCUGACAACUGUCCUUAGCAUGUU
rnacentral:lncRNA from 1 species